CAAGUAUAUCUAUCUAUUAUACUAAAGCAAAAUAAUGGUUUUCUCUUUGGCCAGAGAAUUGUGAUUUUGGGCGGCAAAUCAUUUUCCUCAUUUCUCAGCCAUUUUGUUAAAGCGCUGUUAUGUUCUUCAAUAUGGAAACUCCAAUCAAUUAGCAAUCAGUUGAAUUCUUCUCCAAUACGUUUCAAUCAAUCCUUAAAACCCUAAAACCUAAAUCACUGCCGUUAUCAAUUUUGGCGAUUUCACAUCAAAGGACGAAUUUCAUUCUGUGUUCAUAUUUCUUAUAUCAGUUUCCUCUUCAUUUGAUUUCAACAGAUCACAUCAAAUCGGAUCAAAUCGGAUCGGAUCGGAAGACUCUGUUGUACAGUGUUAACAAUGGUGAGAAUUCACAGCUUUCUCCUUUUGAUAAUUACGUUAUUGCAAAAUAUUAUUAUAUAAUGAGGAAUUUAGGAUCUGUAUGAUAAUUUUUGUAUACCUAGGGUUUUAUUUAGAGAGGAUACUUUGUUUCUGUAAUUGUUGUUUGAGGAUAUUGUAAAUUUUGCACUGAAAUUAUUGGUUUCAAUACUAGAUUCCAAUCCACAUAUUUUUAAAUUAGUUAAAUUAAAAUAAUUGCACUAUUAUUGUUAUUUUUGUAUUAAAAUGAAACUAGAUAAUAUAUAUAGCUCAAUCAAAGGUCAAGUUCAUAGCAUUUACCAGAUGUCAAUGGCAGCCACAUUGCUAGCACAUUUCUUUUUGUUCAUUGUCCUAUGCUUCUUCCUCCAAAUCCAUAGGAAAAAACCAGCAACCAAUAACAAUCUGCCACAUGGAAGCUUCGUAUGGCUGUUUUUAGGUGAAACCAUAGAGUUCGUCCGUACACAAAGACAUGGAGCCCUGGAGAAAUUCGUGAGAAAUAGAAUGGAGAGAUAUGGAAGUCCUAUGGUUUUCAAAACAUCGUUGCUCGGCCAACAUAUUGUUGUCUUUUGUGUGCCUGAGGGGAACAAGUUUUUGUUUGGAAACGAGAACAAACCGGUGGCGUCGUGGUGGCCUGAAGCAAUCCAGAUGCUGUUUUGUAAAUGCUUAAAUACAAGCCGCGGAGAUGAAGCCCUGUAUAUAUAUAUAUAUAUAUAUAUAUAUAUAUAUAUAUAUCCAUGCAAGAAACCAAUGGAUUAAGUGGUGGAUACGUAUUCGAGAUCUUGAUGUAUACAGAACUUGGAUUUUAUUCAACACUUUCCUAAAAGGGCUAGGGGAACUGCCUAUCAAUAUCCCAGGGACACGGUUUGUUUUUUGGUUUUGAAAUGAGGGGAUUUAAGAAAAAAUAUGAAUUGAAGCUUUGUUUUCUUGUGGUGUUGUUCAUCUGCUUACCGGUUAAAGUUUGUAAGUUUUGAUUAUUCUGUUUCAUUUUGUUACUUUGUUAUACUUAAGUUAAUGCGUUGGAUCUUUGUGUAGAUGUUUAAAUUGAGAUCUUUGGUUCAUUGUUGUUACUUUUGUAAAAGAUCGUUGGUUUAUUGCUGUUACCAGAUAAGGAAUACGAUCUGUACGUGGAUUUUGGAGAUGUAUGUCUAAACCAGCAUGGCAGCCGAAAGAUCGCCCGCUUGCUUGCAAACAAGCAAGAAGAAUCCAGCUAAAGUUCCUAAACGGAUUCACAAAGCUGAAAGGGAAAAAGUAAAGCGUGAACAUUUGAAUGAACUCUUUCUUGAGUUGGCUGGUGCACUUGAACUCACAGAACAAAACAGUGGGAAAGCCUCGGUAUUAGGCGAAACCACUCGAGUUGUAAAGGACAUGAUUGAUCAUUGAUGAAACGUGUACGCUACAAUAACAAAUCAGUGAACUACAGAGCAUGAUAAAAGAGAGAAAUGUCCAAACAAACCUUGAUCUGAAUGCACCCGCGAUCGAAUCGCAAGAACCGCAAUUCCCGACUUAUUUUCCAUUAGAGUGGCUGCAGUUGUAUACAUGGAUUGUGGAUUUAACUAACAACAUAUGUUGAUGGUAUGGCUUACGUUGACAAAAGUCUUCACAAUCUUCCUUCUGCAGUAGCUCCGGUUCAUUAAAGCGCAGCCGGGUGACAAGGUAUGGAAAAAGGCGGUACACACAUUGGAGUUGGCUACCUUAUGAAGAAUCUUACAUAAAGAGUUCAAUGGUAGAUCGGUUCUGGUGACGAAAAUGUUGGUUGUAAUAAAAGCGGAUUCGUUCAAUUUGGCUGAAAAAUAGCUUGAUGGUGUUACCGACGAUUGCAGACGUGGACAAUGAGAGGUUCUAGGGUGUUAAACGGAAUGCUGACGUCUCAAGAGUUGUGCAUGUCAAAUGAUUUUACUAAAGAGUAGGUUAUCGAUCUAAGGUUAGGGUUCAGAUCAUCGUUUUCAGCAGUUAAGGUAAACCUGACAUACUUGGCUAUCAUCGUUUUAUGCUUGUAAUUUUGUGUUUCGGAUUGUUUGGAAUAGUCUAUCUGGCGAAGGAAAGUAAUUCAGAUUGUUUAUUCGAAGUGAUUGUCUCCUUAUUGUGUUUUGAUGCAUCAAUAAGCUGUUUCGAGGGUGUUUGAAUUGGUUACUUAAACUUGCUUACAUGAUUAGUUGUGAGUGAGAUACGCUAUUUUGAACAUGUGGUUUGAAGUUGUGUAAUUCCAAACUGCUUAUUAUAGGCUGAUAAAGUGUUUUGAUAAGCAAUCCUUAACAUCUAUAGUGUUGAAAUGCCUAAACAACUGUGAACUAUUGUUUCCGGUGCAGUGGAUGGAUAAGGAAGAAAGACUCCUGAUUUGGGCUUCCAUGACUCCACAAAAGUAUGAUGUUGCAAAAAACAUUGAAAGAUUUGGGCAAACAUAAAUGUCAAUCGUCCAGCAAAAGCUUAUAGUGGAAUUUGUAAAGAUUCAAAGUGAUGGUACGCUGGAAGUGGAUUAACAUGCCAAAAGAGCUGGUUACUUCAGGCCUAUAGCGGGAUUAACAUGCCAAAAUACAUAUCGCAGCUGGUGAAGUCUUUCAAGUGGUUUAAGUACAAAAAAUUCAACAAGUUGAAGGCUGGGGCUGAUGUUACGACAAUGGUUCAGGUUAUACAGGGCUGUUAAUGGCCCAUGAAAGUUUUCGGUUCCUGUUGGAUAAGUGUGGUUGCGGGUUCGGUCUGUGGCAGUCUAAGUCUCACCUCUCAAGUGGUGCUUAUAAAAUCCUAUUUCAGCAAAGCCAGUGGGUGUGCCUUAAAGCCAGGGGCAGUUUCGUCUUUAUGGCCUGGGACAAUUUAUUUCCGGGUUUGAUGUUUGUUUUCUGGGGUUUCGCCAUGUCAUGUUGUGUGCUUCGAGUUUACCGUGAUGUCCCGAGUUUGCUGACUUGGUCCGAGUUGCGGCCAUGAUCCGGGGUUACGGCAGUGUUCUGGGUUUGCUGCCUUGUUCCGGGGUUGCUGUCAUGCUCCGGGAUUCCUGUCAGGUCCCGAGCCUUGUUUGGGUUAAUGUAGUGUUAUUCAAGGCCCAUUACAAUGGCCUUGUGCUAUUGCUUAUAGGAUAUUGCCGCGCUUUCGACUCAGGCAGGCUGCUGUUGAAGGCCCACCAGUUGGGUAGAGUGGUAUUCCGAUUGUGAUCAAACAGAAAGGUACAUGACUUAAAAUCACAUUUUGUCAUUCAGUUAUUUUAAUUGCAAGUUUUUUAGCCAUAUGUGUUUUUUUUUAAAUUUUGUAUGUGGGCAGAUAGUAAUCAGCUGCCACUCACAAAAUGGUGGUGGAUUGACAUUGACUUGAGAGAAAGUUUUUGUUAUGUCUUCUUGUGGCAGUGAACUAUAGCUUCUGCUGUGGUUGCUAUUCAUCGCUUAGUUUCAAAGUAAUAUGUAGGAUUUAGUUAAAAAUACUUACGCAUCUGAUUUAAAUCUUAUCAUUUGACCUGUGUCGGUUGCUUUUUUUGUUUGUACUUUGUAGUCCCACAUAAGUUGACAAUAUUUUGAAUGAAAAUUUGAAUAAUACGUCAUUACGGACAGAGUCUUCUAAGUUGAGGCGCAAAGCGCAAAAGCGAACUGACCGUAUGGUUCCGAUUUGCCGAUUUUCUCUCUAAAUUUCACCCAAUUUUUAAGUUCCUGCAAGUAAUUUAAUUGAUAUGGACGAGUUCUUACUCAAUCAUCACUCAUGUAUUCAUGUAUUGCAUACGUAAUACAUAAUAUUCGGACCUUCAAUUUUAAACCCAUAUGUAUUGAAUACAUGAAAGAUAUUGGAGUUUCUUUUCAACAAAGUUGUUGACUUGUCUCCAUGGUUUUAGAAAACGUUUGAGGCGUGCGCCUCUAGGCGCGCCUCGAGGCGAAACGGCCAAAAAACGAGUCUGAGGCGCGCCCCGAGGCGAAACGGCCAAACAAGAGCAAAGUUUAAACGAAGCCGAUUCUGAUACCGUAGAAGAUACGUAUUCCGAAACAGAAAUGGAACUGGAUUCAAACGACGACUUUGACCAAAACCAAAGGGUCAAAGCUGCACCAAAAGUUAUGUUUUGGUUCUUAGUUAUUCUGUACUCCCCUCAUUAGCUGCUAGCUAUGAGGUUUUAUUUUAGGAAUGUAGUUUCUUUUGGCUGGUAAAAAAAACAAAUAAAUAGAAGGAUUUGUUAUUGUAAUUCAUGCCUUAUAAGAACUUUGUUAUGAUAAGGCAUAUACCUUUAUCUCACCCGAACACAUUAUUAUCACAUGUUUUUCUUUUAACA